GUUCCCCUGCCUUGUUGGUGAUUGGUGGCAUAUUUCGAGCCAACAUUGGCAUCUAGGGUGACUCCGCUGUCGGAAGAUGGGAACUCCCUCGGGAAAUUCCCUGACGCUGGUAUGAGUUAUAUACCCACCUAACUCUGUUAGGUUCGAUGUCGCUGUCAACACGGCAAUGGCGGGGGGAUU
rnacentral:other from 1 species